GCCAACAUGUCGCCUCGUGCACUUUCAUCUCCUCCUCCUGCCGGACGAACGCCUCCAACGGCUGAAAAGCGUUCGCGUCGGAUCAGAAUCAUCUCCCCCUUUAAUUCCCCCGUCUCCGUUUCACUUGACGCAAAGUUACCCGAGCGUCUCGACAAGAGGCGGAGCUUCGUGAUUUAGAUUCCUGCUCCUCGGCCUCGGUUUGUCCCCGGGCCGUUUCUGUCUCCGCCCCGUCCAGAGAUGUGCUGCUCGUGGAGCUGAGGGAAGGAAGAGGAGGAGAAAGGGGGGGAGGAAGAGCCCAGCCAAGAGGCCCCGGGGCCGCGGCCCUCCCUGGACCCCCCAACCCCGGGUCACUGAGCACCUCGGGUCAGCCGGUCUCGCUCGGGCCUCCUCGUGGGGGAACCGCCCGGCUACCGGAUUGAGGAGGAGGAGGAGGAGGCAGCUCCCCCCGGUGUCUCGUGUAAUCAACAUUUAGAGAACAGCUGGAAGGAGGAGGAGUGUGUGUGUGUGUGUUUUCUCACGUUGGGAUACAUCUGAUCUCGUGUGUGUGUGUGUGUGUGUUCAUGUAAACGGCCUCAGUGUGUGUGUGUGUGUGUGUGUGUGUUCAUGUAAACGGCCUCAGUGUGUGUGUGUGUGUGUGUGUGGUCGGUGUGUGUUCCCUGCUGGGCCCUCAGCGCUCAGAGGGGGUUCAGCGUCGGGGUCUUCGCCCGCAAAUAAAAACUCGUCCUCCGGGUGCCAAGGAGGAGGAGGAGGAGAAACGCUGGAGACGGACGUUGAUACGCACGGUUCAUCAAAGAGUAACAAUCAUCCCUUGUUUAGCAUCUUUUGGGCCUUCUCAUAACACAUGCCUCCACGUGAGGACCAUCAGAGCCAAACGAGACCCCCAACACAUCGUGCAGCACUGGAGAAGACGAACCCUUGGAGCACCUGACAGCUGACGGUUCUCCGGUUCCUUCCCCGCACCAUAAAUGAUGAACAUUUUACCACAUUGUUUGUUUUGGAUCCGUAAAUGCCGCGUUGGCCUCGGGCGCCGGUGCUAAUGCAACAGAUCGCCUCCGUGUCGCACAACAUUCGAAUGGACCAUCUGACUAAUUACAGCGGAGAACCCGGCGGUAGAACCCCCGAACGUGGCCUUUCCGGUCGCGGAGAGACAGGAAGCCUGCCAGAAAAAAUAACCAUUUCAAUAAUUUUCUUUAAUUUCCAGCAUCUAAACAGAGCGAAAAAAUCCAAGUCGGAGAAAACAAAACGCCACGCACGCGGCCGGCGAGGCCCUCGGAGAGAGCGGCUGCCAUCUAAAAACAGCUCUCUGCAGCUGGCGGCCGCGUUGCUCAGGCGCUCGCGGCCGCGGACGCCGUUCACUCCCGGCUAAAUGUAUGGAAUCAGGCUCUCGCUAAAAACUACAAUUACAGGAUGUGGCACAGGAAGGAUUAAAACUGCACCUCCGAGGCGGAUCCGAGGUGUGAAGAGCUGACGGGGAGCUCAGUGGAGAUGAGACCGGCACAGCUGGGCCUGAUCCAGAUCCACCUGAGCUCUCUUCUAGAGUCCACCAAAAGGAGCCCGGAUCUCAAAUCUAGAACUCGUGGCUGCGACCUGGGAAAUCAUCAGAUUUGUUUUGGGGGUAAUUCUGCAGGUUUCAAAUUUGAAAUGUGUGUUUGAUUCAGGAUUUUCAAAAUAAAACAGGAUGUGACGUU